rnacentral:rRNA from 1 species
GACGAACGCUGGCGGCGUGCUUAACACAUGCAAGUCGAACGGAAAGGCCCUGCUUUUGUGGGGUGCUCGAGUGGCGAACGGGUGAGUAACACGUGAGUAACCUGCCCUUGACUUUGGGAUAACUUCAGGAAACUGGGGCUAAUACCGGAUAGGAGCUCCUGCUGCUUGGUGGGGGUUGGAAAGUUUCGGCGGUUGGGGAUGGACUCGCGGCUUAUCAGCUUGUUGGUGGGGUAGUGGCUUACCAAGGCUUUGACGGGUAGCCUGCCUGGGAGGGUGACCGGCCACAUUGGGAUUGAGAUACGGCCCAGACCCCUACGGGAGGCAGGGGUGGGGAAUAUUGCACAAUGGGCGGAAGCCUGAUGCAGCACAGCCGCGUGCGGGAUGACGGCCUUCGGGUUGUAAACCGCUUUCGCCUGUGACGAAGCGUGAGUGACGGUAAUGGGUAAAGAAGCACCGGCUAACUACGUG